CUCAAUCUGUCAUCUGAAAAUGGAAAGAGUAUUGCGCAACACCUAAACUGACAGGCUGGGCAAGGAGAGCAUUGAUUAGACAAGCAGCCAAGAGGCCCAUGAUAACUCUGGAGGAACUGCAGAGAUCCACAGCUCAGAGCCACCACAUGCACCGGCCUUGCCUGUUGUCUCCUCAGAAACCCAGCUCUGGACUAUACAGAGGACUUUCUGGGAGCUGCUCUUUGUGAGUGGCUUCCUGUCACAGCUGCAUUCGAUUCAAGACAAUUCAAGGCCGUCAAAAGAACUGCACCCAUCUACCUCUAAAUACUGACCAGACCACUGCGCAAGCACCUUGCUCCACUACAUCAGCUGGCUGCUGGUAUACCACCAUCGCUGCAAACAAAGGUUGCUCAGCAAAGGCAAGGCUCUUCUCUGUUCUUGCGCCUCAGUGGUGGAAUUAAUUCCUGAUCAAUGUCAGGACAGCAGAUUUACUCGUGUUCUUCCGCAAAAGACUCAAGACUCACUUCACCUCCAACCCACAUAGCAUGCCCUUGUCCCCCCACUCCAAAAUUGACAUGCACUUGUAUGUACUCACCCUUAGCACUUAAAUCACAGCACUGAUGUACUUACUAAAUAGCAGCUGCCAUGCUCAGAGGAGGGCUUGAAAAUUGUGUUAUGUUGUUAUGGUUUCUUCCUAGUACUUUGUACUUGUACAAAUGUAAGUAAUUUUUGACAAAAGCGUCUGCUAAAUGCACUUUUGUAAAUGUUGAAGAGGCAUUCCUGUCUGUACAGUGAAGUGGGGUAAUGUAGAGAGGAGGGAGCAGGAAGCUAGCUAAAACAACACUGGCAGCAGCUUUAACUAUAGAAUAUAGAACAUUUUUACCUCAUUUUCUCAUGUGUAUUAAAGGAUCUAAUCAGGUUUAUAACAGCAUCUGGUGUAAAGCCAUAAUGAAACCUUGUGUAUUAUAGCGUUCAUAAUCAACAUCUGAGGAAACACAUUGCACAGUAAUAGACAGGCCAAACCAGCAAUAAGUCAACAGGAUACAUGAGACUGACUCCAGGGCAUGUGUCAGACAGCCCAUUUCAAAUGAAUGUAUCGAUGAAUAAAGCUGA